ACAAGUACCGUGAGGGAAAGUUGAAAAGCACUUCGGAAGGAGAGCUAAAAGACUUGAAAUCGGCGAGAGGGAAGCGAAUACUGAUUGCAAUCGGGGGAUCCGUCCCCUGAUGAAGGCAUUGACGACAUGUUUAUGUUGACAGCAUUGGUAUACGACCCGUCUUGAAACACGGACCAAGGAGUUAGCUAACUGUGCGAGUUUAAGGGUAGUAAGCCCGGAGGCGAAGUGAAAGCGUUAGUUGCGAAUCUUGCAGCAACGGCCGGGACUUGUCUCGAGCUAUAGCAUAGUUAGUUAGACCCGAAAGAUGGUGAUCUAUACCGGGGCUGGGUGAAGCCAGGGGAAACUCUGGUGGAAGCUCGUAGCGAUACUGACGUGCAAAUCGUUCGUAUAACCUCGGCAUAGGGGCGAAAGACUAAUCGAACCAUCUAGUAGCUGGUUCCCUCCGAAGUUUCCCUCAGGAUAGCUGGAAGUGUUACAGUUAGAUUCGGUAAAGAUAAUGAUUAGAGGACUUGGGGACUAAGAGUCCUCAACCUAUUCUCAAACUUUAAAUGGGUCUGAUGUCGGCCGCUGAUUUAUUUAGCGAACGACAAAAAUGGUGCUUCUUAGUGGGCCAGUUUUGGUAAGCAGAACUGGCGAUGAGGGAUGCUCCUAACGUGGGGUUAAGGCGUCAAACGUACACUAAUCAGAUACCAUAAAAGGUGUUGGUUCAUUGAAACAGCAGGGCGGUGGUCAUGGAAGUCGAAAUCCGCUAAGGAGUGUGUAACAACUCACCUGCCGAAUGAACCAGCCCUGAAAAUGGAUGACGCUGAAGUGUAAGGCCGAUACCUCACCGUCGCAUCAAAGAAUGUGGCGUGUAGGAGGGCGUGGUGACAGCUGUGAAGGCUUCGUUGUGAAACGGGUUGGAGCUGUUGCUAGUGCAGAUCUUGGUGUUAGUAGCAAUUAAUCGUAUGGGAAUUGCGAUGACCGAAGUGGAUGAGGGUUUCGAGUGAACAGAAUUUGUCCUCGAGUUAGUCGGUCCUAAAGGAAGACCUUGUAGGUUAAGAUAUUUGUGUUAUGCAAAGUUCCUGAAAGGGAAAAAGGCUGAAAUUCCUUUACUUGUAUAUGUAGUGGUGGUGACACGUUUGCAACUGAUUUGUCGGCGGCAGUCUCGGGGAGCGUUUCCUUUGCUCUUUAAAUAGCUUUGUCUCUUGAAUCGGUUUCGCCGGAGAAAGAGGUAACAGCUAUUAAUAGCGCGUGUCUUUGAUGUGCGUCCGGAACACUGCCGAAGACCUCUGAAAUGUCAGUUCGAUAUACUGCAUGUGACAAGCCGUACCGCAAACCGCAUCAGGUCUCCUAGGUUAGAAACCUUUGGUUAGGUAGAAUAAGGUGGAUGAGGGAAGUCGGCAAAUUAGAUCCGUACCUUCGGAAUAAGGAUUGGCUCUGAGGACUGUGUUGGACACCUUUUCGUACGGCGAUUCGGUUGCUUUCGGGCGACUGUCUUGAUGACGUUAGGGUUGACUUGUCUUUAGUCCAACAUAUUUUAGUCGUCUCAGAACUGGUGUGGACAAGAGGAAUCUGACUGUUUAAUUAAAACAAAGCAUUGCGAUAAGCUGUAAAGCCUUUUACGUAAUGUGAUUUCUGCCCAGUGCUCUGAAUGUCAUUGCGAUGAAAUUUGUCUAAGCGCGGGUAAACGGCGGGAGUAACUAUGACUCUCUUAAGGUAGCCAAAUGCCUCGUCGUCUAAUUAAUGACGCGCAUGAAUGGAUCAACGAGAUUCCUACUGUCCCCAUCCGCCAUCUAGCGAAACCACAGCCAAGGGAACGGGCUUGGCAAAGUAAGCGGGGAAAGAAGACCCUGUUGAGCUUGACUCUAGUCUGGUUUUGUGGAGUGACUUGGAGGGUGUAGAAUACGUGGGAGUAGUUUACUACGACAGUGAAAUACCACGAUCUCCAAUGUCGCUCUACUUACUCUGUUAAUAAGAAGCAUAUCAAAGUGUUUUGGUACUAAGACUGCUUGUCAGUCGAUCUUGAGGGGGGACAGAAUCAGAUGGGGAGUUUGGCUGGGGCGGCACAUCUGCUAAACUGCAACGCAGAUGCCCAAAGGUUGACUCAAAGAGAACAGAAAUCUCUUGUAGAUUGAAAGGGAAAAAGUCAGCUUGAUUCUGAUUUUCAGUACGAAUACGAACUGCGAAAGCAUGGCCUAUCGAUCCUUUAAGUCCAGAAAGGUUCUGGCUAGAGGUGACAGAAAAGUUACCACAGGGAUAACUGGCUUGUGGCAGCCAAGCGUUCAUAGCGACGUUGCUUUUUGAUCCUUCGAUGUCGGCUCUUCCUAUCAUUGAGACGCAGAAGUCUCAAAAUGUCGGAUUGUUCACCCGCUAAUAGGGAACGUGAGCUGGGUUUAGACCGUCGUGAGACAGGUUAGUUUUACCCUACUUAUGACUGAUACAGUGACAGCAGUGCAACUUAGUACGAGAGGAACCGUUGCUCCAAGCCUCUGGUAAUGCGGUUGGUGGGCACGCCAGUGCUGCAAAGCUACGUUUGAAGGAUAAUGACUGAACGCCUCUAAGUCAGAAUCCUUACUGGAAAUCUGUGUCUAUAGCAGUUACGUAUCCAGAUCUUAUAGGUUACUUCGAUUCAUCAUAGGGGAACUGACACCGAACGUCAGUUCUACGCAAUAUCGUGACGCUUGAACAUUCCCGCAAAGACGAUCGGGUUGCAACGGUGUGCUGUAAGCGAGAAAGUGAGCUUUGCCUUGCGAUCUGCUGAGGUUGCGCCGUUUGCUAAA
rnacentral:rRNA from 1 species